ensembl:misc_RNA predicted gene, 27580
UCCUCAGACCGUGCUUCCCUCCUCCUUUGUCACUGGAGAGAAACAGGAAGGAAUGUUUAUUAACAAGGCUGGCUGGGGUCACACCCAAGGCAAUAUCAGAUUUUUACCUCUCCUGGGCCUGGGAAGAGGUCCAAAGAUCAAGGGCAGCU